GGCUGAAUGGUCUAGAGGUCACGAUUCCUGCUUUGGGUCCACGGGCUGCGAGGGGAUUUGAACCCCGUAAAUCAACUGCAGGAGGUCCGGGGUUCGAAUCCCCGUUCAGCCC